rnacentral:tRNA from 1 species
GGACUCGUAGCUCAGCUGGUAGAGCGUGCUCUGCACAAAAGCGUAGGGGUCGUCCAUGUAUGGGUUCGAAUCCCACCAAGGCUA